rnacentral:rRNA from 1 species
UACAGAGGGGGCAAGCGUUGUUCGGAAUUACUGGGCGUAAAGGGCGCGUAGGCGGCCUGUUAAGUCGAACGUGAAAUCCCUGGGCUCAACCCAGGAACUGCGUCCGAUACUGGCAGGCUUGAAUUCGGGAGAGGGAUGCGGAAUUCCAGGUGUAGCGGUGAAAUGCGUAGAUAUUAGGAAGAACACCGGUGGCGAAGGCGGCCCACUGGAUCGGCACUGACGCUGAGGUGCGAAAGCGUGGGGAGCAAACAGG